rnacentral:rRNA from 1 species
CCUACGGGAGGCUGCAGUGGGGAAUAUUGCGCAAUGGGCGAAAGCCUGACGCAGCGACGCCGCGUGAGGGAUGAAGGUCUUCGGAUCGUAAACCUCUGUCAGCAGGGAAGAACGGUCACUGUGCUAAGCAGCAGUGAAUGGACGGUACCGGCAAAGGAAGCACCGGCUAACACCGUGCCAGCAGCCGAGGUAAUACGGAGGGUGCGAGCGUUAAUCGGAAUUACUGGGCGGAAAGCGCUCGUGGGCGGUAUGUCAAGGAAAGGGUGAAAGCCCCGCGCUCCACGUGGGAACUUCCUUUGCAACUGGCUACCUGGAGUGUGUGAGAGUAUAGUGGAAUUCCAGGUGUUGGCGUGCAAUCCGUAGAUAU